GAUGAAGAACGCAGCGAAAUGCGAUAAGUAAUGUGAAUUGCAGAAUUCCGUGAAUCAUCGAAUCUUUGAACGCACAUUGCGCCCACUGGCAUUCCGGGGGGCAUGCCUGUCCGAGCGUCAUUUCUGCCCUCCAGCCCGGCUGGGUGUUGGGCGCUGUCCCCCCGGGGACACGCCCCAAAGGCAGUGGCGGCGCCGCGUCGGGUCCUCGAGCGUAUGGGGCUUUGUCACCCGCUCGGGACGGACUCGUCGGCGCUGGUCUUCCUCCAGGCGACCCUUCGGGGCUCGUCUUCCUUCGGUUGACCUCGGAUCAGGUAGGGUUACCCGCUGAACUUAAGCAUAUCAAUAAGCGGAGGA
rnacentral:misc_RNA from 1 species